GGAGUUUGGACCGUGUCUCAGUUCCAAUGUGGGGGACCUUCCUCUCAGAACCCCUACUGAUCGUUGACUAGGUGGGCCGUUACCCCGCCUACUAUCUAAUCAGACGCAUCCCCAUCCCUUAGCGAUGAAUCUUUGGUUUGAUCUUGAUGUCAGCAUCAAACAACAUAGGGAAUUAAUCCGACUUUCGCCGGGCUAUCCUCUGGUAGGGGGAAGGUUGGAUACGCGUUACUCACCCGUGCGCCGGUCGCCAUCAAAGUCAGCAAGCUGACUCCAUGUUGCCCCUCGACUUGCAUGUGUUAAGCCUGUAGCUAGCGUUCAUC
rnacentral:rRNA from 1 species